GACGAACGCUGGCGGCGUGCUUAACACAUGCAAGUCGAGCGGAGCGGCGCACGGGUGAGUAACGCGUGAGUAACUUCCCCCCUCUCUGGGAUAACCGUUGGAAACGGCUGCUAAUACCGGAUAGUGGGGGAUGACUCGCGUCCUAUCAGCUUGUUGGUGGGGUAGUGGCCUACCAAGGCGACGCCGGGUAGCCGGCCUGAGGGGGCGACCGGCCAAAAUGGGCUGGGGUACCGCCCAAACUCCUACGGGAGGCAGCAGGGGGGAAUAUUGCAAAAUGGGGGAAACCCUGAUGCAGCAACGCCGCGUGCGGGAUGACGGGCUUCGGGUUGUAAACCGCUUUCAGCCAUGACGCGGUAGUGGCAGAAGAAGCACCGGCUAACUACGUGCCAGCAGCCGCGGUAAUUC
rnacentral:rRNA from 1 species